rnacentral:rRNA from 1 species
CCUACGGGGGGCAGCAGUGGGGAAUAUUGCACAAUGGGGGAAACCCUGAUGCAGCAACGCCGCGCGGGUGAAGAAGAUUUUCGGAUUGUAAAGCUCUGUUAGCAGGGAAGAGGAAGGACGGUACCUGCAGAGGAAGCCACGGCUAACUAAGUGCCAGCAGCCGCGGUAAUACGUAGGUGGCAAGCGUUGUUCGGAAUAACUGGGCGUAAAGGAUGCGUAGGCGGUUGAAACAGUUAUAUGUUAAAUAUAUAGGCUUAAAC